rnacentral:rRNA from 1 species
GACGUAGGGCGCGAGCGUUGUCCGGAUUUAUUGGGCGUAAAGAGCUCGUAGGCGGCUCGUUGCGUCGGCUGUGAAAACCCGCAGCUCAACUGUGGGCCUGCAGCCGAUACGGGCAGGCUAGAGUUCGGUAGGGGAGACUGGAAUUCCUGGUGGAGCGGUGAAAUGCGCAGAUAUCAGGAGGAACACCCGUAGCGAAGGCGGCACUCUGGGCCGAUACUGACACUUGAGACACGAAAGCGUGGGGGAGCAAACAGG